GAUGAAGAACGUAGCGAAAUGCGAUACGUAAUGUGAAUUGCAGAAUUCAGUGAAUCAUCGAGUCUUUGAACGCACAUUGCGCCCCCUGGUAUUCCGGGGGGCAUGCCUGUCCGAGCGUCAUUAUCACCCCUCAAGCCCUUCGGCUUGGUGUUGGACGGUUUGGUGAAUAUAUUUUUUAUUUACCCCUCCCAAAGACAAUGACGACGGCCUCGUUGGACCCCCGGUACACUGAGUUCUUCACCGAACACGUACUGGAAAAAGGGUUCACGGGCAACGGUCUGCCUCCCCUCAGGGAGAACUUUUUUCUAAGGUUGACCUCGGAUCAGGUAGGGAUACCCGCUGAACUUAAGCAUAUCAAUAAGCGGAGGA
rnacentral:misc_RNA from 1 species